GGGGUUGUGGCUCUGUGGUAGAGCACUUGCCUAGCAUGUGUGAGGCACUGGGUUCAAUUCUCAGCACCA
rnacentral:tRNA from 1 species